rnacentral:rRNA from 1 species
CUUGCUUUCCUGCCGGCGAGUGGCGAACGGGUGAGUAAUACAUCGGAACGUGCCCUGUAGUGGGGGAUAACUAGUCGAAAGAUUAGCUAAUACCGCAUACGACCUGAGGGUGAAAGUGGGGGACCGCAAGGCCUCAUGCUAUAGGAGCGGCCGAUGUCUGAUUAGCUAGUUGGUGGGGUAAAGGCCUACCAAGGCGACGAUCAGUAGCUGGUCUGAGAGGACGAUCAGCCACACUGGGACUGAGACACGGCCCAGACUCCUACGGGAGGCAGCAGUGGGGAAUUUUGGACAAUGGGCGAAAGCCUGAUCCAGCAAUGCCGCGUGUGUGAAGAAGGCCUUCGGGUUGUAAAGCACUUUUGUCCGGAAAGAAAUGGCUCUGGUUAAUACCCGGAGUCGAUGACGGUACCGGAAGAAUAAGGACCGGCUAACUACGUGCCAGCAGCCGCGGUAAUACGUAGGGUCCAAGCGUUAAUCGGAAUUACUGGGCGUAAAGCGUGCGCAGGCGGUUGUGCAAGACCGAUGUGAAAUCCCCGGGCUUAACCUGGGAAUUGCAUUGGUGACUGCACGGCUAGAGUGUGUCAGAGGGAGGUAGAAUUCCACGUGUAGCAGUGAAAUGCGUAGAGAUGUGGAGGAAUACCGAUGGCGAAGGCAGCCUCCUGGGAUAACACUGACGCUCAUGCACGAAAGCGUGGGGGAGCAAACAGGAUUAGAUACCCUGGUAGUCCACGCCCUAAACGAUGUCAACUAGUUGUUGGGGAUUCAUUUCCUUAGUAACGUAGCUAACGCGUGAAGUUGACCGC